rnacentral:rRNA from 1 species
GACGAACGCUGGCGGCGUGCCUAACACAUGCAAGUCGAACGGGGAGUUAUUUAUAACUCCUAGUGGCGAACGGGUGAGUAACGCGUAGACAACCUGCCUCUAAAUUGGGGACAACACCGCGAAAGUGGUGCUAAUACCGAAUGUGGUAUCUUGAUCGCAUGAUCGAGAUAAGAAAGAUGGCCUCUACAUGUAAGCUAUCGAUUAGAGAUGGGUCUGCGUCUGAUUAGCUAGUUGGUGAGGUAACGGCUCACCAAGGCAACGAUCAGUAGCCGGGCUGAGAGGAUGAACGGCCACACUGGGACUGAGACACGGCCCAGACUCCUACGGGAGGCAGCAGUGGGGAAUCUUCCGCAAUGGACGAAAGUCUGACGGAGCAACGCCGCGUGAGUGAAGAAGGUCUUCGGAUUGUAAAGCUCUGUCGUUUGGGACGAACGUAUCCUGUGUGAAUAAUGCGGGGUAAUGACGGUACCAAAGGAGGAAGCCACGGCUAACUACGUGCCAGCCGCCGCGGUAACAC